rnacentral:rRNA from 1 species
UACCAGCACCCCGAGUGGUCGGGACGAUUAUUGGGCCUAAAGCAUCCGUAGCCGGUUCUACAAGUCUUCCGUUAAAUCCACCUGCUUAACAGAUGGGCUGCGGAGGAUACUAUGGAGCUAGGAGGCGGGAGAGGCAAGCGGUACUUAGUGGGUAGGGGUAAAAUCCGUUGAUCCAUCGAAGACCACCAGUGGCGAAGGCGGCUUGCCAGAACGCACUCGACGGUGAGGGAUGAAAGCUGGGGGAGCAAACCGG